rfam:Schistosoma margrebowiei strain Zambia genome assembly, scaffold: SMRZ_scaffold0002289
AACAUUCCGUAUCCGUUCUGAGAUUUCGUCACACGCCAGACCACAAGGGCUGAUGAGACUCCCUAGAUAAGCGAAGUA